GAUGAACGCUAGCGGCAGGCUUAAUACAUGCAAGUCGAACGGUAACAGGUCUUCGGACGCUGACGAGUGGCGCACGGGUGAGGAACACGUACACAAUCUACCUUAUACUGGAGAAUAGCCCCGGGAAACUGGGAUUAAUACUCCAUAGUCUUUAAUGAUCACAUGAGAAAUAAAGUAAAGCUUCGGCGGUAUGAGAUGAGUGUGCGUCCCAUUGGAUUGUUGGUGAGGUAACGGCUCACCAAGUCGACGAUGGGUAGCUGGCGUGAGAGCGCGACCAGCCACACUGGCACUGAGACACGGGCCAGACUCCUACGGGAGGCAGCAGUAGGGAAUAUUGGUCAAUGGACGAAAGUCUGAACCAGCCAUGCCGCGUGGAGGAUGACUGCCCUCUGGGUUGUAAACUCCUUUUAUAUGGGAAGAAACCUCUGGAUUCACUCCAGAGCUGACGGUAUCAUAUGAAUAAGCACCGGCUAACU
rnacentral:rRNA from 1 species